ensembl:lncRNA
AUUUUUUAUUAUUUUUUAUUUUUUUAUUUUUUCAUUUUUUUGCUUCUUUUUUUUUGUUUUUUUUUUUUUUGUUUUUUUCGUUUUUUUUUUUUUUUUUCCCACUCCUUAUUAAGAUAUAAAUGUGUUCAUAUUAGUAAGUUGAUAAUAAUGAUAUAAGUAUUCACAUAUGCAUGCACAUAUGUUAUCAUUCCAUUUGUAUAAGUACAGAAAAUAAGAGCGUAAUAAAAAUGAUAAACAAUGUCUGUUGAACCUUUGGUUCCCCCUACUAUAAAAAUUAAAAGAUCAAUUUGUGUCAAGUAUUUUAAAUUUUUAUACUACUUAAAAAAAAUCGAAUUGGAUAAUAAAUGGAAUAGAUAUUACUGCUGUUUAUUUAGAAGUACAGACAAUGAAAAGAGCACACUAAAAAUAUUAGCCACUAAAGUUAUUCUUCAAAAUGCAAAAGUAGAUGUGAACGACUUGAGAGAGAGUGUGGAAGAGUCAUAUACGUAUAGGCCAUACAAUAAUAGACCAUACAAUAAUAGACCAUACAAUAAUAGACCAUAUAGACAUAGGUUACAUAAGACGGAGUUAUAUACAAAAUUAGUUAACCAUUUAGUGUCAAAGCCAUUAAAAAUAGCGUCCUUCGAUUUUGAUGGCACUGUUAUUAAUACUAGUCAUAGUAAACAUACAAAUAACAUAAUCGUAGAAGAAACGAUAUUUAAAACGAUUUACAAUCUAAAAAAAAAAAAAAAAAAUGAAUAUGAUAUGGUAAUUUUUUCAAAUCAAACUAAUGUUUCCUCAUGCGUACACGAUUUUGAACAUAUAAAGUUUUUUAAACUUCCCAAGUUUUUUGCUAAAAUAGAAAAUUUUAUUAACUUAUUAAAUUAUUUUAAUUCUUUUUUUUUAUUACAAAAUGAUAACAAUAAUAUAAAUACUGAUCUUAGUUUAAUGAUUUCAAAAAAAAGAAAAAAAAAAAAAAAAUGUAUAUAUAUAACCUUAUGUAUGACACCAAUGGGUGAUAAAUUUCAAAAAAAUAUUUCUAUGAGACCUGUUUAUUUUUUUAGGAGAUAUAAUUUUUUAAAUGUGCCGAACAUAAUGUUAGAGAAAGGUAGGGUUAGAGGGGGACCACGUAUAAAUUCAAAAACGAAAGGAGCGAAAAUUAAAAAUUGGACAUGUAAAGUUUAUAUAAAUAAUGUUGGUAAUGUUGGUAAUGUUGGUAAUGUUGGUAAUGUUGGUAAUGUUGGUAAUGUUGGUAAUUUUGGUAUUAAUAAGAAAAGUGGAAAUAGCACCAACUGUGACUAUAACGGUGAUACUACCAACCUACAUUUUAAAAAUUAUUUUUUUGCGGUUGGCAAAUGUGAUAUAAACGAAAUUGAUAUAUACACUAAACCUAAUGAAGGUGAAUUUUUUUUAUAUAUAUGUUUAAAAAGUAUAUUAUAUUUUUUAAUUUUAAAUUUUUAUUUUAAAAGUCAUAAACAUGAUAACAAAUUAAAUAAAAAGUUAAAAGAAUUUUUUUUUUUAUCUUCUGAAAUAUUUAAUAUGACUGACAUUCAAAAAUUAACAAAAAAACUUAUGAUGAAACAUUAUUAUUUUGAUGUAAAUAAAACAUGUUUAGAAAUAUUAGAUACUUAUAUCAAUACAUUGCUGAAAAAUACAAAUGAAUAUAAAUUAAUAAAAAAUAGACAUCCUGAUUUUAUAGAAUAUAUAAAUUUUUUUUUAUAUGACCAAAACCACUUCAUCAAUUCGAUAUCAAUCGAAGAAAACAAAUUAAAUGGGUUAUUAAAUAAUAACACAUUUUUAAAACAAUUAACCUUUUGCUUAAUGUAUAAAAAUAAAUUAAUUAAAAAUAUAGCUAAAACACUAGCAGAAU